rnacentral:lncRNA from 1 species
GACACUACUGGUGUCCCUGAUGUUUGGUCAUUUUCAAUGCCAAUAACUAAGCUACAAUGGUUCUCCCACACCUGGAAGCUAAUGAGUAAUGAGCACCAUUAAGGCUUAUUUAAAUGUAAAAAACCUUGAGAUAAUGUACUAAAUUGUUCAGAAGGUUGUUUUCUUAGUGGAAUGCUACAGGAUUUUCUUUAGCAUCUUUGCAAGAGUUCCUGCCUUCGUCCCAGUGCCAUUGAGGACGAGGAUGGAAAAAUUUCCAGUGUUGCUGAAAACCGGAUGAAACUUCGGCUGAAAAACGGACGAGACUUCGGAUCUGUUGCUGUUUCUGCUGCUACAGCUUAGGCUAGCUGCCUGAAGAACUUACCUGGACUGUGAUUUAAGCUAGCUGCCUGCAGAACUUACCUGGACUGUGAUUUACCUGGACUGUGAGUUAAUCUAUUGAGAUACUGCUUUACCUGGACUGAGACAAAAAACUGUAAUCUAUAACAAAUUGUAAUUCGGUAUCUUUGCUAACAGUGUCAUUGCUGGUAUAAUUUUUCCAAGGGCUUCUUGCAUGGAGCCAUCAAUUGGCUUGGUAUUGUGACAUUUUGUAUCCUCCCCUUCUGCUUGUAGCAGAUUAUUUAUGGUGUUUGUGUAAAAACCACUAUGGUUGUUAUUUAAAUUAAACAAAAGGGGGAAAUGUUAGAGUCUGUAAACAAGUCAAAAUAACACCUGGCAUUUAGCCAGGGGAAUGUUAGAGUUCAUAAACAAGUCUGGAUGGUGCCUGGCAAAAUGCCAGAGGGAGUGGUUUGAGA